ACCCUGUGAGGAGACUGAGGCACGGGGCUGCUGUGGCGCUGCAACUCAGGUGUUCCAUUUCUGGGGGUGGAGGAAGUGGAUGAAGCUCUCUUGGAAAUCUUGCCUCCUUGGAAACACACUUGUCAGCUGCCUGUGGAAACCUCCAGCUCAUCACCCACUCUCUGUAACGUGUGAAGAAGAAGGAGGACUCACCUGAUCACCAGCCUGCCCACCCUCUGCCUGUUGCUAGCUUUUGGCUUGCCACCUGCCACCCACAGACGCCCUCCAUGACUCCAUUCAUAGCUCCUCUCCACUAGUUCUUCACAGUGAUCACAACAAGAGCGCAACAAGCUACCCUAAAACAAUCCAAUGGUAAAAGCAAUACACCUGCAAAUAUCAGGUGAAGGAUAAAAUGCUGUACAAAAAUUACCGACGUGUCUGAAUGUUCCACCGCAGCUACGGGACGCUGUUCUGUGGGUAGACGAGCGAUAAGGAACGCUGUGUUCAGAGGAAGAUAGCACAGCACACCAACAUGAAAACCUCACUCUAGCUGUGAAGCACGGUGGAGGGAGCAUCAUGGUUUGUGGCUGCUUUGUUGCCCCAGGUUGAUGGAAAUCGUGCAUUCAUCGAGGCAACAAUGAAUUUUAAUUGCAUUAAGAAUUCUUCAGAAGAAUGUGAACAAAGUAUGAAGCUGUGGAGAGUUUUGGUGACAAUAACCCAAAGCAUGAAAAGUGGACCAACCACAGUAUGGCUGAUAAAGAAAAAAAGUGUUUUGGCAUUUCCAGCACAGACCUGACCUCAGCCCAGCGGUUCUCAAAGUUUGUCUGGCGUGCCCUACUUUAGACACUGAAAAUAGUUCACUCGCCACACACACUAACCCCACAGUAUUUUAUAAACCAUUAUCAAUUAAAUUAAAUUCCAAAACGUUGAUUUUGUUCAUUUGGUACGUCCAGAUCAACAGAAUCUUUUGGGAUUUCCUUACCUGAAUGAUUGAGUAUACAUUUGUGGUUAAUAUUUCCUCUUCACCUCUUUGUGGGUCACAUAAGCAUCUACAAGACACAUCCGAUGGAGGUUUUGCUGCUAAAGGAGGUGCAAGUAAGCAAACCUAGUGUAGUUUACUCACUUUUGCCAGCCUGUUACGUGAGUGAUUAUAUAACAUGUUCAAGAUCUGAAUGGAUUAAUUUAGUCACUUUGUCCAUAUUUGCACCUUACGGCUAAUUGCAUUUUAAAUAACCAGUGUAUAAAUACUGGUAAUUCAAAAUCAGUUGCACUUUUUCUUGCAACUUUAUUUAGAAAAAUAGAAGUAUUGGAAGUAAAGACUGGGCUGAACAUGUCUGAGGCUAUUUUCUGUCAUGGUACCUCAUCUCAGCCUUACGAAGAAACCACAGACUGAGGUGUUGCUGUUUGGUCACCAUUUCCGUGGCAAGCAGACUUCUAGUUUUAGUUUUAGAAGCAGCAUUGUCACACCUGCAGCUUAAAUCAUAUCCUGCCAACACCAUGACACUAACCAUCAGUUUAAAACCAGGUUAAAACUUCCUCCCCAUUGUCGAUGUUGCUUAGUUUGUAAAAAACUACAGAACCAGAGAUUAUGCACAUUCUGAUACUUUCAGAUCAAUGCAUGCAAUCAUAAAUAAAAGCGA